AAAAAGACACAGAAGAGGAAGAGUAGGAAAAUUGAAAUCUGCAGAGAGCUGUCGGCAGGUGCGAGACAGAGAGGGAGAUUUUUUGAACUGGCCUUGGAGUUUCCAGAGCGAAAUUAUAGUAGUUUUGGACGGGAAAUCCCGUUAUAGAUUCAAUAAGUGCAUCUGAUUAUCAAUUUGUUGAUGGAAAAAUCAGAUGAAUUAGAGUGGUACCACGAAAGUUAGUCCUUCGUCUCUAAA
rnacentral:ncRNA from 1 species